rnacentral:lncRNA from 1 species
AACACCAAAGUUUAACUUCAAAUUUUGAAAUUCAGUGAAACAAAUAAGAAAGACUUUUAGUUACAAGAGUAUAUCAUUGACAUAUUUACAAGUAUAUCAUUUGUUUUUAUACAAGUAUAACAAAUCAAUGAAUAUACAAGUACAUAUAUACAUAUGUCUAAAGUAUCUAAUUUCAUGAGGGAAAUUCUUUUAGUAUCUCCGAUUCCAGUCAAACUUUUUGUGAAGUUUAGGAUAUUCUCGAUUUUGAUGAUAGAUGCCAUCAUCUUUAGCAAUAUAGCUAUAUGUGUGUCCGUGAGGCUCUCUAUUGUCCUCCACAUAGGCAUCAAACGUUGACGAGAUCUUAUAAUCAGGUCCUUUGCUCAGGGUGCACCAGAAAAGCGUAUUUCCCAUAAAGUUAUCGUGGAAACUGAAAUAGUAGAAUCCCUCUGGUUUCAGAUAGUGGAAACCCAUAUUGUUGUUCCCUGAUUUACAAUGUACCUUGAGCCAUUUCCUGUAACGAAGGCGGUUCACGAAUAAGAGUGUUGUAUUGGCCCGUUGAAAUAUAUUGGCACCUACAUUGCCGAUCAUGCAAAGGGUAAGAACAAAUAGAAAGAAUGAAGUACUUUUCAUUUUUUUCUUUCUUUCUAGAUGUUUUAGAUAUAUAUUUAUGUAUUGUUAAAACUCGUGUUUGUGUUUGUGGUGUUAUAUAUACACAUAGUAUUGCUAUUUUUGAGUUUUCACAGUAUCUUCUUACUCUAUUAUUGGAAGUUUUCUAUUAAUGAUUUUAUCUAGUCGUUUCGAAAAAAUAGAUUGAUCCCAUAAAGUUUUCAAGAUUUUUUCCAAUGGCCUCCUCCCUAUUUUGGUAUGUUCCUCUCUUGUUGGUCAAGUUUGUUUUAUAGACUCUCCUUUUAAUCGAGUACUUAAGUUACAUUAAACUAGAUUGUACGAAUAUAGAUAAUAAUGAAAACAUAAUAAUAAAAGCAUGGAGAAAAAAUAGAAACUAAAUGUGAUGAUGAGAGACGAUAUAACAACAAUAGGUAAGAGAAACAUCAAAAUGGUAUAGAAGCAAGCACACCAACAAAAUAGCCCUUUACAAGAAGAAAUAAAAAAACAAAAUCGAACAAUAGUUCGUGAUGGUGGUCGUUAUAGAGUAUUUCACUUCUCGGAUUAUGUUAACGUGAAUAAAGACAAACUAUCGAUCACUAUUCUUCUAGUUCUCCGAAGCCUUGUCUCGAGCUGCAAAAAUGAUGCAGAAAUCAUCUAAAAAUGAAAGUUAUAAGUAGAUUAUAAUCCCAUUCCCAUAUCAAAUAUUGUUUUGACAAUCUUUUUUUUUAACACCAAUGUCAUCUCUACUUUCUUAUGUGUUUUUUUUGGGUUUAUUUAUUGUCGUUAUUAUUAAACUUCUCUUAAAAGAAUCUGAAAACGGUAAAAAAGACUACCACAUGCGUAUACGUGACUAUAUUUUAAAUUUAUAAAUAGUAUUCAUUGCAUGUAACUUAGAGCUUAUUAAUAAAUCUGGGUCGGAAUUGUAUGUUAAGUGUUUGGAGAUUGAUUUAGUUCGCAUAUGCUAAAUUGGCUUGUUAAGGGUUUUCAGAUCAUUUCGCGUCACGAUCUAACGAAGAAACGAUAGAAAAAUUUAACUUUUAGAAAAUAUAUACUGAAUAACACCAAAGUUUAAUUUAUAAAUUUUAAAUACAGUGAAACAAAUAAGAACAAUUUUUCCAAGUAUAUCAUUGAUAUAUUUACAAGUAUAUCACUGGUUUUUACAAAUAUAACAAAUAAAUGGUGUUAAUAUAUAAGUACAUAUAUUAGUUUGAUCAAAAAAAAAAAAUAAGUACAUAUAUUGAAAACAUCUGAUAACAGGGGAGAUUUAGUUUGUGAUCUCUAUUUCCAGUCAAACUUCUUGUGAAGUUUAAAUUCCACAAGAUUACUGUGAUAGAUGCCAUCAUCUUUAGCAAGAUAGUUAUAUGACUUUCCGUGAGGCUUAUCCUUGUUCUGUUUAUAGGCGUCAAACCUAGAAGAGACCUUAUAAUCAGGUCCUUUGCUCAGGGUACACCAGAUAAGCGUACCCCCCAAAACGUUGUCGUGGAAACUGAAUGUGUAAUCGCUUGCACCAGGUUUCAGAUAGUGGACACC